rnacentral:RNase_P_RNA from 1 species
GAUGGCAGAUGAUCGCUGGUGAAUCGCAGGAUUCGCUGGAGGAAAGUCCGAACACCAUACGGCAGCAUGCCGUCCCGCGAAGGCGGGACGGGCGCCGUUUCCGAAAGGGAGCGGCGACGGAAAGUGUCACAGAAAAGACACCGCCGGUUCUUUGAGAAAAGUGCACGGUAAGGUUGAAAAGGCGAGGUAAGAGCUCACCGCUCGCGGAGUAAUUCGCGAGGCAGGAAAAACCCCAUGCGGUGCAAGACAAAACAGAGGGAGGACAGCCGGUCCGUCGAUCCUCGGGUUCGUCGCAUCACGGUCCCGCCACUGCGGGAUCGGGCGGUUCCGCGAAGGCGGGAUUGAGAUAAAUGAUCAUCGCCCAGCUUCUUUGCUCGCAAAGAGCUGUGGGACAGAAUUCGGCUUACCGCCGUCAAAU